GGACGGCAGCACAGAGAAGCUUGCUUCUUGGGUGGCGAGUGGCGAACGGGUGAGUAACAUAUCGGAACGUACCGAGCAGUGGGGGAUAACUAAUCGAAAGAUUAGCUAAUACCGCAUAUUUUCUGAGGAAGAAAGCAGGGGACCAUUUGGCCUUGCGCUGUUUGAGCGGCCGAUAUCUGAUUAGCUAGUUGGUGGGGUAAAGGCCUACCAAGGCGACGAUCAGUAGCGGGUCUGAGAGGAUGAUCCGCCACACUGGGACUGAGACACGGCCCAGACUCCUACGGGAGGCAGCAGUGGGGAAUUUUGGACAAUGGGCGCAAGCCUGAUCCAGCCAUGCCGCGUGUCUGAAGAAGGCCUUCGGGUUGUAAAGGACUUUUGUCAGGGAAGAAAAGGGCGGGGUUAAUACCCCUGUCUGAUGACGGUACCUGAAGAAUAAGCACCGGCUAACUACGUGCCAGCAGCCGCGGUAAUACGUAGGGUGCGAGCGUUAAUCGGAAUUACUGGGCGUAAAGCGGGCGCAGACGGUUACUUAAGCAGGAUGUGAAAUCCCCGGGCUCAACCUGGGAACUGCGUUCUGAACUGGGUGACUAGAGUGUGUCAGAGGGAGGUAGAAUUCCACGUGUAGCAGUGAAAUGCGUAGAGAUGUGGAGGAAUACCGAUGGCGAAGGCAGCCUCCUGGGAUAACACUGACGUUCAUGCCCGAAAGCGUGGGUAGCAAACAGGAUUAGAUANCCUGGUAGUCCACGCCCUAAACGAUGUCGAUUAGCUGUUGGGCAGCAUGACUGCUUAGUAGCGAAGCUAACGC
rnacentral:rRNA from 1 species